AAGGGUGCCGAAACCCAGGAGACGGCACUCUCGACAAACCGAGCCCAGUCUCCACCACCACUGCCACCAGCGACACAUUUCGCCCUAUCUUUUUGGGCGCCGGCUCCCUGUACUCACCACUGAUUGGGUUUAGAUUUGCUGCUAAGAGAUCUGAGUCUCAUAGAGAUUAACAGAUGUGCCCAAGUUUACCAUCCAGGUGGAGAAUCUCAGAAUUUUGACUUCAGAACUCAUUUACUUCACUACUGUCUACUGUAAUUUUAACAACCAGCCUAAAAAUUAACUUUAGAUGCUCCAAAUUCUAAAGAAAGCUACUAGUCUUAAUAAAAUGACAACAGGCCAUAAACCUA